rnacentral:rRNA from 1 species
UACGUAGGGUGCGAGCGUUAAUCGGAAUUACUGGGCGUAAAGCGUGCGCAGGCGGCGCGUUAAGACAGGUGUGAAAGCCCCGAGCUUAACUUGGGAAUUGCGCUUGUGACUGGCGUGCUGGAGUGUGGCAGAGGGAGGUGGAAUUCCACGUGUAGCAGUGAAAUGCGUAGAGAUGUGGAGGAACACCGAUGGCGAAGGCAGCCCUCCUGGGGCCAGCACUGACGCUCAUGCACGAAAGCGUGGGGAGCAAACAGGAU